GGUUCUAUGGUGUAAUGGUUAGCACGCUGGACUCUGAAUCCAGCAAUCUGAGUUUAAAUCUCGGUAGGACAU
rnacentral:tRNA from 1 species